GCCCUAUACUGCAGUCGAACGAACUCUGGUAUUGAUUGGUGCUUGCAUCAUGAUUUACAUUUGAGUGAGUGGCGAACUGGUGAGUAACACGUGGGAAACCUGCCCAGAAGCGGGGGAUAACACCUGGAAACAGAUGCUAAUACCGCAUAACAACUUGGACCGCAUGGUCCGAGUUUGAAAGAUGGCUUCGGCUAUCACUUUUGGAUGGUCCCGCGGCGUAUUAGCUAGAUGGUGGGGUAACGGCUCACCAUGGCAAUGAUACGUAGCCGACCUGAGAGGGUAAUCGGCCACAUUGGGACUGAGACACGGCCCAAACUCCUACGGGAGGCAGCAGUAGGGAAUCUUCCACAAUGGACGAAAGUCUGAUGGAGCAACGCCGCGUGAGUGAAGAAGGGUUUCGGCUCGUAAAACUCUGUUGUUAAAGAAGAACAUAUCUGAGAGUAACUGUUCAGGUAUUGACGGUAUUUAACCAGAAAGCCACGGCUAACUACGUGCCAGCAGCCGCGGUAAUACGUAGGUGGCAAGCGUUGUCCGGAUUUAUUGGGCGUAAAGCGAGCGCAGGCGGUUUUUUAAGUCUGAUGUGAAAGCCUUCGGCUCAACCGAAGAAGUGCAUCGGAAACUGGGAAACUUGAGUGCAGAAGAGGACAGUGGAACUCCAUGUGUAGCGGUGAAAUGCGUAGAUAUAUGGAAGAACACCAGUGGCGAAAGCGGCUGUCUGGUCUGUAACUGACGCUGAGGCUCGAAAGUAUGGGUAGCAAACAGGAUUAGAUACCCUGGUAGUCCAUACCGUAAACGAUGAAUGCUAGUGUUGGAGGGUUUCCGCCCUUCANNGCUGCAGCUUACGCAUUAAGCAUUCCGCCUGGGGAGUACGGCGCAAGCUGAAACUCAAA
rnacentral:rRNA from 1 species